CUCAUCAAAACUUUGUCACAGUGAGUGGUCAGAAGGCAUACGCCAGAACUCCAGCAUUAUCCAACAGCUGUCACUUCCAUUUAAGGGACCAACGCAUUCUCUCAUGGACACUUCCUGGGGCAGCCUUUUGCAAAUUGCUCAUCUAACAAUCGAGAAAAUGAGGAAGGUGUUUACUUCAAAAUAAUCUUAGAAAUUGACAACAUGAAAUGAUGGAUGGUUUCUUAAGGACAAAGACCAUAGUGGGACUCUGAAUCUUCAGGGACCAGCAAAAUUCUUGGUGAUAUCAAGGCUUGUGGAUCAAAUGAUUAUCAGAAGACCAAGGAGUCAAGAAGAAAUAGCUACAGAAGAUAGAAAGGACCAAGUUUAAUCUUCCUGUAAAUUCUAAAUCCUGCAAUGUACACAUCAGACUGAACAUACAAGAUUAAAAGGUAACUGCCUCUACUGAAGAAGGGAGAGUCAAUAGCCUUUGGAAAGAUGCUCAGGAGGGAAUCAGGUGGGGGAAGAGAGAGAAAGAGAGGAGAUAUUGAUGAGAGGAACGCCUAGUACACCAGACCCACUAGUUCAGAGAUAUGUUAGGGAUGUUGCCUCCAUCCUCUCUCCUAACUCUCAUAUUGACUCAUAAGAGCAAACAAAAGCCACACUUGACAAAUGGGAUCUAAUUAAGCUAAAGAGCUUCUGCACAGC
rnacentral:lncRNA from 1 species